AGGGCACUCGGUGCAUCACAAACUAAACAUUAACACCCACACGCUCCGGAGCAUCCUUGCUCUCUGGAAAGCCUGCUGAAUUCGACAAGAGCUGCCUCUUAGGACAGCUACAAAACACUUCCAGCUUGACCGGCUACAUGGAUAAACCUGUACAGCAUAGCUCUUAAACAGCACAGGAGACCUGCUUGCUUCAAGAGUUGGAGGAUGGAUUGCUGCGCCUGAGAACGGAAUUGCUGGAUGGGGAAAGACACGGUACCUGCCACUGGGUAGAGGAUGUUCUUACUAACGUUUCAUUCUGGACAACUGGUCCAACCGGACUAGAGAAGCCGGACAGUUUACUGUAACUGUCUGAUUUCAAGCCUGAUGCUUCCAACAGACUCGUCACAGUAUUCAAGCCACCAUGUCCAUCUCUGCGUUAACAACAGAACAGUUUAAAGCAUCUUGUAAGGUGUUUGGACGCCAGGUUAAUUAGACUGGGCCUGUUUGAAAGCUUGCUGUUAUCUGUGAAAAGACUAUCCAUAGACUUCAACAGGCUUUGUGCAUCAGGCCCUAAGAAUUUAGUCCCAGUUCCUCUACCAGGAAAAUCUACUCUUAUUGAUUUCAAUGUCACUUGCUCUUCGCAUUCACGUUACUCACUGCUACCGAACAUACCCUGUAUAUCUUUACCCCUGUGUUUAUCCUAAGUAUUUUUUAUACUAAGUAUUUUUUAAUGUGUUGCUUCUCUGACAGAACUGUAUUAAUAAACAUGUUCAUACAGUU